rnacentral:snRNA from 1 species
GUGCUCCCUUUACCAGCAUCUGUAUUCAAACUGAAUGACAGAGAUGAUUGGCAUGGCCCCGUGCAAGGAUGACACACAACUUCAUGAAGUCUUCUGUAUUUAA